UUGCUCUCUGGUGGCGAGUGGCGAACGGGUGAGUAAUGCAUCGGAACGUACCGAGUAAUGGGGGAUAACUGUCCGAAAGGAUGGCUAAUACCGCAUACGCCCUGAGGGGGAAAGCGGGGGAUCGAAAGACCUCGCGUUAUUUGAGCGGCCGAUGUUGGAUUAGCUAGUUGGUGGGGUAAAGGCCUACCAAGGCGACGAUCCAUAGCGGGUCUGAGAGGAUGAUCCGCCACAUUGGGACUGAGACACGGCCCAAACUCCUACGGGAGGCAGCAGUGGGGAAUUUUGGACAAUGGGGGGAACCCUGAUCCAGCCAUGCCGCGUGUCUGAAGAAGGCCUUCGGGUUGUAAAGGACUUUUGUUAGGGAAGAAAAGCCGGGUGUUAAUACCACCUGGUGCUGACGGUACCUAAAGAAUAAGCACCGGCUAACUACGUGCCAGCAGCCGCGGUAAUACGUAGGGUGCGAGCGUUAAUCGGAAUUACUGGGCGUAAAGCGAGCGCAGACGGUUAAUUAAGUCAGAUGUGAAAUCCCCGAGCUCAACUUGGGACGUGCAUUUGAAACUGGUUAACUAGAGUGUGUCAGAGGGAGGUAGAAUUCCACGUGUAGCAGUGAAAUGCGUAGAGAUGUGGAGGAAUACCGAUGGCGAAGGCAGCCUCCUGGGAUAACACUGACGUUCAUGCUCGAAAGCGUGGGUAGCAAACAGGAUUAGAUACCCUGGUAGUCCACGCCCUAAACGAUGACAAUUAGCUGUUGGGACACUAGAUGUCUUAGUAGCGAAGCUAACGCGUGAAAUUGUCCGCCUGGGGAGUACGGUCGCAAGAUUAAAACUCAAAGGAAUUGACGGGGACCCGCACAAGCGGUGGAUGAUGUGGAUUAAUUCGAUGCAACGCGAAGAACCUUACCUGGUCUUGACAUGUACGGAAUCUCUUAGAGAUAGGAGAGUGCCUUCGGGAACCGUAACACAGGUGCUGCAUGGCUGUCGUCAGCUCGUGUCGUGAGAUGUUGGGUUAAGUCCCGCAACGAGCGCAACCCUUGUCAUUAGUUGCCAUCAUUAAGUUGGGCACUCUAAUGAGACUGCCGGUGAUAUGCCCGAAGAAAG
rnacentral:rRNA from 1 species